UGGUGGAGUGAUUUGUCUGGUUAAUUCCGUUAACGAACGAGACCUCGACCUGCUAAAUAGUACAAGGUAUCACUCGAUAUUCUUGCACUUCUUAGAGGGACUGUCGGUGGGUUACCCGACGGAAGUUCGAGGCAAUAACA
rnacentral:rRNA from 1 species